rfam:Xenorhabdus beddingii strain DSM 4764 Xbed_18, whole genome shotgun sequence.
AGUUUGAAGUUCGCAGCCUGAUUUUUUAAGGCUGGCGGCUGGCGAUUUUUUAAUCGCCAGCCU